rnacentral:rRNA from 1 species
UACGAAGGGGGCUAGCGUUGCUCGGAAUCACUGGGCGUAAAGCGCACGUAGGCGGAUUGUUAAGUCAGGGGUGAAAUCCUGGAGCUCAACUCCAGAACUGCCUUUGAUACUGGGGAUCUCGAGUCCGGAAGAGGUGAGUGGAACUCCGAGUGUAGAGGUGAAAUUCGUAGAUAUUCGGAAGAACACCAGUGGCGAAGGCGGCUCACUGGUCCGGUACUGACGCUGAGGUGCGAAAGCGUGGGGAGCAAACAGGG